GAAGAUAAUAGCGGGGGAAUUCUUGUCGGCCUCUUCGAACGCUUUGCGCAGGUUGGAUUCAGACUCUCCGGCCAGUUUGGACAUGAUCUCGGGCCCGUUGAUCAGGAAGAAGAAAGCGCCUGAGGGGACGGGCACGGCGCGAUGGAGACCACGUCGGAAAGUCGCACGCGCAGGUUGUUGCGCACCACUCGGUUCAUGCGGAUCUUCUCGUCCGGACAGUUGUCGUCCGAGAGCACGAUACACACGGUCUCCUUGCGCCGCUUGCCCUUGAGCAGCACUGUGUCACCACGGAACAACUGCAGUUGCUCCAUUUUGGCCUGUGAUUGAUUUUUUUAUAUAAACGCUCUGUUUUCUCAUGCAUUUUCUCUUUUUUUUUACUUUUAAAGUGAUAAGAAACGUUUAGUCUAUUACUCAUUAAAGAUAUGUGCUGCCCAGAAUACAGCUGUAAUCACAGGAGCAUUGCCGGCCUAUCAUGAUAUCAUGAAUUUGGCACUCAUUUCUUUAUGGGAGAUUUGUAAUUAUUUAAAUACGGUUUGUAGAUGGUACCUUAUAAAUGACAGUUUGAGAUAAUUUUAUUCAAAAUGAGAAUUUAUUAUUGAAAUACCUAUGUUAAUUACCUAUUUUAAAUUCAAUCUAUUGUUAAAGAACUGAGAAUAUAAUUUUUCUUAAAAUCAA